UUACUGGGCGUAAAGCGUGCGCAGGCGGUUUUGUAAGACAGUGGUGAAAUCCCCGGGCUCAACCUGGGAACUGCCAUUGUGACUGUAAGGCUAGAGUGCGGCAGAGGGGGAUGGAAUUCCGCGUGUAGCAGUGAAAUGCGUAGAUAUGCGGAGGAACACCGAUGGCGAAGGCAAUCCCCUGGGCCUGCACUGACGCUCAUGCACGAAAGCGUGGGGAGCAAACAGGAUUAGAUACCCUGGUAGUCAAGGGCG
rnacentral:rRNA from 1 species